GAGUCUAACUCUCUUUUAAGCAAAAGGCUUAGUCCUGGCCUUAAAAUCAGUUCUUUCUUAACUUACACAUGCAAGCAUCCACACACCCGUGAAAACGCCCACAACCUUCCAAAACAAGGAAUGGAGCCGGUAUCAGGCACAUCAACACGCCCAAGACACCUAGCAACGCCACACCCCCAAGGGUUAUCAGCAGUGAUAAACAUUGAACAUGAGUGUCAACUCGAUUCAGUUAUAGAACCUAGGGUCGGCAAAUUUAGUGCCAGCCGCCGCGGUUACACUACUAGACCCAAAUUGAUUUUUAUCCAACGCUAGUGUUUUAAGAUACCACACCUCUAGAGUCAAACUCGUACCAGGCCGUUGCAAGCCCGUAAAAAGAAGAUCAAAAACGAAAGUUACUCUACCUAAAACUUAAACACACGAAAAUCUGGGCACAAACUAGGAUUAGAUACCCUACUAUGCCAGAUAGUAAACAUCUACCGCCAGGGAACUACGAGCAAAGCUUAAAACCCAAAGGACUUGACGGCAUCCCACAUCCCUCUAGAGGAGCCUGUCCUAUAAACGAUAACCCCCGAUCAACCUCACCACGUUUAGCCUUUCAGUCUGUAUACUUCCGUCGUCCGCUUACCGCGCGAGCGAUUUACAGUGAGUCACCGUCCUCCACUGAUACGCCAGGUCAAAGUGCAGCAAAUAAAGUGGAAAGUGAUGGGCUACACUCUCUAAUUUAGAAGACACAGAAGAUGACAUGAAAUCACCAUCAGAAGGUGGAUUUAGCAGUAAAAGGAGAAUAGAGUGCUCCUUUAAAUCGGGCUCUGGGAUUUGUACACACCGCCCGUCACCCUCUUCGCAACCUAACACAAGUAAUUAACAACUUUUGUCUAAACAGAAGAGGUAAGUCGUAACAAGGUAAGUGUACCGGAAGGUGCACUUGGAUAAUCGCAAUAU
rnacentral:ncRNA from 1 species